rnacentral:rRNA from 1 species
CCCUUAGAUGUUCUGGGCCGCACGCGCGCUACACUGACGAAUGCAACGAGCUUAUAACCUUGGCCGAAAGGUCUGGGUAAUCUCCAAGUUUCGUCGUGAUGGGGAUAGAUUAUUGCAAUUAUUAAUCUUCAACGAGGAAUGCCUAGUAAGCGCAAGUCAUCAGCUUGCGUUGAUUACGUCCCUGCCCUUUGUACACACCGCCCGUCGCUCCUACCGAUUGAAUGGUCCGGUGAAGCGUUCGGACCGUGGCCUUUGGACGGUUCGCCGUCUGUUGGCUGCGGGAAGUUCGUUAAACCUUNUNAUUUAGNGGAAGGAGAANUCGUANCA